rnacentral:rRNA from 1 species
AACUUUUAGCAACGGAUCUCUUGGCUCUCGCAUCGAUGAAGAACGCAGCGAAAUGCGAUAAGUAAUGUGAAUUGCAGAAUUCAGUGAAUCAUCGAAUCUUUGAACGCACCUUGCGCUCCUUGGUAUUCCGAGGAGCAUGCCUG